rnacentral:tRNA from 1 species
UGGCCCAUGCAGGUCUCGAACCUGCGACCUUCGCGUUAUUAGCACGACGCUCUAACCAAUCAUGACAGAAAUUA